rnacentral:rRNA from 1 species
AGAGUUUGAUCAUGGCUCAGGAUGAACGCUGGCGGUAUGCUUAACACAUGCAAGUCGAACGGAGUACUUCGGUACUUAGUGGCGGACGGGUGAGUAACGCGUGAGAAUCUGCCUUCAGGUUCGGGACAACCACUGGAAACGGUGGCUAAUACCGAAUGUGCAGCAAUGUGAAAAAUUUAUUGCCUGAAGAUGAGCUCGCGUCUGAUUAGCUAGUAGGUGUGGUAAGAGCGCACCUAGGCGACGAUNAGUAGCUGGUCUGAGAGGAUGAUCAGCCACACUGGGACUGAGACACGGCCCAGACUCCUACGGGAGGCAGCAGUGGGGAAUUUUCCGCAAUGGGCGAAAGCCUGACGGAGCAAUACCGCGUGAGGGAGGAAGGCUCUUGGGUUGUAAACCUCUUUUCUCAAGGAAGAAAAAAAUGACGGUACUUGAGGAAUAAGCAUCGGCUAACUCCGUGCCAGCAGCCGCGGUAAUACGGAGGAUGCAAGCGUUAUCCGGAAUGAUUGGGCGUAAAGCGUCCGCAGGUGGCUAUGUAAGUCUGCUGUUAAAGAGUCUGGCUCANCCAGAUAAAGGCAGUGGAAACUACAUGGCUAGAGUGCGUUCGGGGCAGAGGGAAUUCCUGGUGUAGCGGUGAAAUGCGUAGAGAUCAGGAAGAACACCGGUGGCGAAAGCGCUCUGCUAGGCCGCAACUGACACUGAGGGACGAAAGCUAGGGGAGCGAAUGGGAUUAGAUACCCCUGUAGUCC